GCCCGGAUGGUGAAAUUGGUAGACACGCUAGGUUCAGGGUCUAGUCCGCUCACGCGGGUGCAGGUUCGACUCCUGUUCCGGGCA
rnacentral:tRNA from 1 species